AAAAAAAAAAUUAAGAUAGAUCUUUCUCAUCAGAUCGCAACCACUCGCACGCAAAUGUACGUCAGUCGUGCGCAUUGUUCUAAAGCUUUUCUGUUAAUAUUCAGUGGAUUGCAUCUCCGUAAUUAGUUUUUGUUUAUGCCGCAAAUCGCACCUCACGCGGAUUAUUUAUUACGCAAGUUUCAGGCUCCAUUUUAUGUCAAAAAUUCCUAAGUACGAGUGACUAAGCAAACCACUACAAUAAUUUCAUAUCUCUACAACUACAAUAACACAAAACAACAAUAUCAUAACAGAGAGGGGCACGUGGUGAGGCUCUCGUGCUGUUUAAAUAAGUUUCUGCAAGAGUAUCUGGGGUGCACUCUAACCAUAAUUCUGAUGACUCUUUUCUGUGCUAUAAGGACUUCAUUUGCUCAUGACUGGUUACCCCAAAAUAUGGUGCCAAAUGUCAUAAGUGUAUGGAAAAUCCUAGAAGCCUGCUGCACCUGCCAUAACCUUCAGCUGGAUGAGGGUCUUCCUCUCUUACUUUAGGCAACAAGUCAAAUGUAUUAGAUGCUGUAAGCUCAAAUGAAGUUGAGGUUGUUCCUCUUUAACCCAUUACUUGUUACCCUUAUCCAGUGCCUUUGGUCUUUUUUUUUUCCCUUCAAUGUAUUUAGUUCAAAUUCCACAUGAU